UGAUAUGUUUUUUUUUUAAAUUAUGCAGUAAAAUCCUAACACAAAAACACUUUCUUUACUUUAUUGUUAUAAUUGUAUACUAUAAAUACAGUACGGCGCAUUUAUUGAAGGUAAACCCCGUUAGUGAUUAUUGAAAGGGAUAAAAAUAAACCAUGGUAAGAAAAUACAGGGUGUCUCAAUAAACAUUGGACUUAAGUGACAACUUCUAUGUCGUCUUUGUUUCACGCGGGAUUAUUUCGUAAGCUCGAUUAUAGUUCUAUCCUAGAUUUUCUUAAUGUGGUUACCAUUUUUACAGGAAUUAGUCCAGAUUCCAAUUUAUUGAAAAUUAAAAAUAAGUGAUACUUGGUCGAUGGGUGUACACUUUUAGCCCCCCCUGGUACAGUAAAAUCUAUGCCGAGUCCCCCUGGACAAAUUCCUGAAUACGCCCCUGGCUAUGGAGCAGCAAGAUACAUUGAGAUAAAAUAACGGUUCAACCCCUUUAGAUAAUCAUGAAUAUAAUAGUAUUUAUAUAUCUAUUAUUUUUCACAUAAAGUUGUACAAUUGCCAUAUUUGCCUUGUUAAUUACAAUGCCUUAUAGAUAACCAAUUGUUUAGUGGCUUAGUUAAAAUUUAUUAUUGUUAAAAUGUAUUGUACGAAAAAAGUUAAUUGAUAUAUUUUAGUUUUUUUCUCGAUAAUAAUAUCAUUUUAAUAAAUGUUAUAUGUGAAAUAAAUAAACUGCCGAUU